UGGUGACCAGCGGAGGGCGGAGACUCCGGAGAGUAACUGAAGAAGGCUGUCUGAGGUUCCCGAACACGGUGACGGCAUUAAGUCCCUGGAAGGUGCCCUCAGAAGCCUGGAUGGACUUCCUUGCUGGGAUUUGCUUGAAAGGAGGGUUCCUUUGCCAGCUGCCUGAGGGAUUAAACGCCAACUGCGAGACUUCAGUGGCUUUCUGCGAAAGGUAAAGCUGCCAUGAAGCCUGCCAAACCACCUCAACCUGUUCUACAGCACUAAAUUCUCUUUAGGGGCAUCCAGAGGAAAUUCUGAAGCUGGGACUUGAUCAGAUCCACCCACAAUCUGUCUAAAAAAAUUAUUACCACGAUUUAUACCCUUCGCCAAACUAUCACCAGCAAAAGCGCCAUGGGAGCAGAGCAGCAUAAGCUUAGUGGCACAUCCUCUCUUCAAGUUCACCAAUUGCUCGCAGAGAUGCAGAAGGAGCCCAGACCUGGGACCACUCACAGAGCAUGGAUGGGGACGGGCUAUUGUGCCGGCUCUGAUUGCUAGUGUAAGGUGCCACAUCCCAGCAAGAGUCUGCGAGCCCCCAGCCUGAGAGCCCUGAGACUGGAGCAGCUCAGCUGCUGUCUUUCUCUGUUUGAAAGCAUUCACUUCAUCAUCCAGGGAUUUCUUCUUAUCCUCCAGCUUCUUCUUCUCUUCCUGGUGCAGUUUCUUCAGACGGUCAAACUUCUCAUGCAGCUGGCAGAGAGGCACAGGGAAGUUAGAGGGAGUCUCCCCCAUCCCCCUGCAGCAGUGAACAGUCCCCAGCCCAGCCAAGACCAGAGUGGGUGGGAACCACUGUGACUGCAAAAAUGUACGACUCUGGGACAUUAGGAAACAUUCCUGCCGGUAACAGCCAUGUUGGCGCCAAGGAUUAUUGUAGAUUGCUGUAAUUGUUCUCGGAAUCUCUGCUCCUGAAAUGGGCAAGGACCGAUGUAUUCUGUGUAAACAAAGAGUUUACUUCAAAGAACCCCUGCAGUUAUUGGGUGUAGUUGCUAAUAAUAUGUACUUAGUUUGUUACAAGCCUAAUCUAAUCUAAUCUAAUCUAACUAAAUCUAAUAUAUUAAAACAUUUUCAUUAACACAGCACUCUGUUCCUUUUCUUUUUGAGACAGGAUCUUGCUGUGCAGUUCAAGCUAACCUUGAACUCAUAACCCUCCUGUCUCCGCCUUUUGAGUACUGAGAUAAAGAUAUAGGCCAGCAUGCUUAUCUUACAACACAGUUGAGGUAGGGUCUAUUUUAUGAGGAAACUGAAAGUCUCAUAAAUGAAGGCGUUUGCCCAAGCUCCACAAGUCUUUGGAGGAUUAUAUAAUGGAAGCGUCCAUAUGUAAAGUUCUCCUUCUGGCUAAGCCUGUACUUUAGGAUCUACCUGUCUCUGCUCCCCAAGGCUGGGUUACAGGCCUGUGCAGCCAAACUUGGCUUCUUAGAUUGUUUAGGAACUAAGACCAAGAGAAGAGAAGUGCUGGCUGAUAGUCCAAAGCUGCACUGGAGGUCAAUUACUCUGGCAUUGAGAUGGGAAUGGGUAGAGGAUGCUUGCAAGUCAAGGCCAUUGCUUGAAAGAAUAACUGCAUAUGUUUGAUUCUUUUGAAAGAACUAAUUACUAUCAGGGGCUUAUUACUUAUUAGGGGCUGGAGGGAUGGCUCAGGAGUUAAGAGCACUUUCUGCUUUUCCGGAAGACUCAGUUUUGGUCCCUUGCAUUCACUGGGCAGCUCACAGUCAUUGGUAACUCCAGUUCCCGAGGAUCCAAUGCUCCGAAAAAUAACCCCCAAAAUGUGGGCCUAUUCCACCUUGUCUGAAGGUCAGAGAGUUUGAGUUAUUUUGCUUGCUCAAAGUUGUUGACAACAGGUGUGGCUCCACACCCUGACUCAACGCGCCCCACUGCCCAGGAGAACUGGGUGUGAUGCUAGAGCGGCUCCCUGCCCGCGGCUGCAUCGGGAUUUACAUUUGCAAUGGGCUAACGAGAACCGAACUGUAAAUUUUAUUGUAUAUUUCAAAAUGGCCAAGAGUAUAGUUCAAAUGCACCCCCUAUCAGUACUGGGAAUGUUGAACCUCGGGCCUAAAGCAUGCUACUAUACAAGAGCUCUACCACUAAACUACAUCCCUAGCCCCCCUUUCAGCUCUUCUUAGAGACAGCGACUUACUAAAUUUGCCCAGGCAGGCCUUGAACUUGUGCUCUUGCUAGAUUAUAGCCUGUGUGAUCAGACUUGGCUUAGAUUUUAAAUGUUUCCAACAGAAAAAAAAAGAAAAAAAAAACAGCUGGCGGUGGUGGUGCACACGCCUUUAAUCCCAGCA